UACGGGGGGGGCAAGCGUUGUUCGGAAUUACUGGGCGUAAAGGGCUCGUAGGCGGCCAACUAAGCCAGACGUGAAAUCCCCAGGCUCAACCUGGGAACUGCGUCUGAUACUGGAUGGCUUGAAUCCGGGAGAGGGAUGCAGAAUUCCAGGUGUAGCGGUGAAAUGCGUAGAUAUCUGGAGGAAUACCGGUGGCGAAGGCGGCAUCCUGGACCGGCAUUGACGCUGAGGAGCGAAAGCUAGGGGAGCAAACGGG
rnacentral:rRNA from 1 species